rnacentral:rRNA from 1 species
CGUAGGAGGCAAGCGUUAUCCGGAGUUACUGGGCGUAAAGCGAAUGUAGGCGGUUGGGCAAGUGGCGUGUGAAAGCCCCCGGCUAAACUGGGAGACGACAGGUCAGACUGCUCGACUCGAGUCCGAUAGAGGAGCGUAGAAUUCCGGGUGUAGCGGUGAAAUGUGUGGAGAUCCGGAGGAAUACCAGUGGCGCAAGCGGCGCUCUGGGUCGGGACUGACGCUGAGAUACGAAAGCGUGGGGAGCGAACGGGAUUAGAGGCCCCGGUAGUCCACGCUGUAAACGAUGCGAACUGGGUGUUCACCUACCGACAGGUAGGGGAGUGCCGAAGCUAACGCGCUAAGUUCGCCGCCUGGGGAGUACGGUCGCAAGACUA